CGGGAGCAAAGAGCCGGUUGGAGUCGCUCACUGGAACCGGCCCUAGGACCUAGCUCGCCAAUGUUUAGAUGGGGCGGAGCUUGCAUCUGGGCGUGGACUAUAACCAUCCAAUAGGAGUGUGGUGCGAACCCAGAGGCGGGAAUCAGCCUCCAGCUGAGCUGACCAAUGAAGAUGGAAGGCGUAUUUGUAUUUUCUCCUGGAGCCGCCUCUCAGUCUAGCUUCAACCAAUGAGGCUAGCAGCAGGACGAAGGUGGAGCAGGUCGCUGCUGGAGGUACGAUGUCAGGGCGCUGAAGAAUCUUGCCAUUUGUACCUAACACUCUCUGGACCGGGCAGCUGAGGUGGAGUUCUGUGUAAUUCGUGAAAGAACCAGGGCUAUAAGAGCUGAGAAGCAAGAAACUUCAGGCAAAAAGGUGACAGAAAGAACACACAGACAAGCUGGUAAAGCUUACAAAUUAGUUUAACAUGAAAAACACCAGCAGAUCCAAUGGACACAAGGCACUCAGCCUGACUCUGUAUGGUGGACAGCAGAGAGAGCAUAGCCCUAGGGUCAGAGAAUUCAUCAGUUUCAUAUCACUGCCCCUGUCGGAGCCUUAGUUUACUCAUUUGACAAGCAAGAAUAAUAAAACCUAACUCACAAAA